rnacentral:rRNA from 1 species
CAGUAGCCGCGGGAAUACGAAGGGGGCUAGCGUUGCUCGGAAUGACUGGGCGUAAAGGGCGCGUAGGCGGCGGCCAAAGUCAGGCGUGAAAUUCCCGGGCUCAACCUGGGGGCUGCGUUUGAUACAGGCAGUCUAGAGUGAGGAAGAGGGUUGUGGAAUUCCCAGUGUAGAGGUGAAACUCGUAGAUAUUGGGAAGAACACCGGUGGCGAAGGCGGCAACCUGGUCCUUGACUGACGCUGAGGCGCGAAAGCGUGGGGAGCAAACAGGAUUAGAGACCCCCGUAGUCCCUGUCUCUUAUAC